CACGAGAUUGCGUGGGAAAACUCUAAAGUAAUUACCACAAACAAUCGCUAUGGUCAAAGACUUUGCCUAGAAGCGUGGCAUAUAAAUAUGAGUCAUCAUGCUUUGAAUAGGGAUGACGGCGCCUAUUUGCCAGAAGAAUAUAUGCAUCUUCUUGGCAGGUGACGUCAUCCCUUGGGUAUUUGGGAAGACACGAUCGCAGUUUUAGAUCACCCCUGAUGAAGACACUAGACUGGAGUGUCGAAACGUUGGGUCUUGAUUACAAUUCGACUGGGCUUUGUAAUCAUUUAUUUAAACCAGAGUAGCGAGCGAAACAUGAUUGAUAUACCUGGUUGCAGUGAACGAACAAACUUUAUACUAGAACUUAAUAACAUUUUGUCAAAUGAACUUAAAAGUUUCCAUUUUGUUUUCCUUUACAAAAAAGUUAUCGAUGAAUGCACAAAGUUG